AUGCAGCAUAGGCAUGAGUUUUCGUGUGAUCAUCCGUCUUAUUUGAAAUUAUGUUAUGAUUAUUAUUUUCAUUGUUAUUAGAUAAGAAAAUAUGAAUAAUACUUUAUAUGUGACUUAUGUUUUUUUAAUGUUUUUUAAAAACAAUUUUUUUUAGAAUUACACAGUACAACGCAGACACUCAAAACGCACACACACUCACCCCAAUGAACGCACGUACG
rnacentral:pre_miRNA from 1 species